AGACUGGCUAAGUCUUCUGGCCUCCAUCUUUCUCCCAUGCUGGAUGCUUCCUGCCCUUGAACAUCAGACUCCAAGUUCUUCAGCUUUUGGACUGUUUGACUUACACCAGUGAUUUGCCAGGGGCUCUUGGGCCUUCAGCCACAGACUGAAGGCUGUACUGUCAGCUUCCCUACUUUUGAGAUUUUGGGACACGUACUGGCUUCCUGGCUCCUCAGCUUGCAGACGGCCUAUCAUGGUACUUCACCUUGUGAUCAUGACCACUGGUAUAGCUUGCCUGGUGGUGGACUUGGAGGAUACCAUUGCAUCAGGGCAUUUCUCCACAUGAUAGCUCCUGCCUGCUGGACAGGUCCUCUCUUGACUAUGUGUAUUCUCCAGAGAAGCAGCAUUUAUAAAAUUGGAUUAAAAUAAACUAACGAAUUAAAUAUGAAUAUGAAAAUAAACAGCUGUUUUCAUGGAAAUUGCAUUGAUGUGGAUUCUUCUGAAGGCAUGUCCCUAAAGAACCUGCCAACAAAUUCUGUAAAGGCAGAAUGAACAUUCUGGAAAAUUUAUGUCCUUGUGUAGAAGGCUAGAAAAAAAAAAGAAGAAAAAAGAAACUCUCAGCCUGAAGGCCUACGUAAAAC
rnacentral:lncRNA from 1 species